AUUAUCAAUGGUAUAAAAUCUAACGCAAUCAGGCCACAUUCUCAAUUUCUCUAAUAUCCAGUAAUCUGUAUUCUACUGAACUAUUGAAGGCUAGGAUGUCAAAAUCAAAUUAUUGUUGAACUUCAAAAUAAAAAUAUAUUUCUUCGACGACUUGAUUCACGAUAGACAAUUUGAGAGUUGGAGUUACUAUAGCACAAUUUGAUUUUCCAAGAAUCAAGGUUCAUUUUGAAAUUGCUCAUAGAUUUCCAACUUACUCGCUCUCUUAAAUGGCCUUUGAAACUAAAAAUUCUGGUAAGCCAAGACAAGUGAGGGGCACUACUGCAUACAAAUAUCGAAAUUUGUAUGUGUUUGGUGUAUUUGCUGUCAGUGGACUUUCUUGGUUCCUGUUUGAGUGAGUUUUUAUAUAUUUACCUAUAUAAUAUUUGAUUAAUUUUGAAUUUGAGAGCUAAUAUUACAUCAGAAUUCAAUCAAUUACCAUCC